GAUGAACGCUGGCGGCGUGCCUAAUACAUGCAAGUCGAGCGAACAGACGAGGAGUUUGCUCCUCUGACGUUAGCGGCGGACGGGUGAGUAACACGUGGAUAACCUACCUAUAAGACUGGGAUAACUUCGGGAAACCGGAGCUAAUACCGGAUAAUAUAUUGAACCGCAUGGUUCAAUAGUGAAAGACGGUUUUGCUGUCACUUAUAGAUGGAUCCGCGCCGCAUUAGCUAGUUGGUAAGGUAACGGCUUACCAAGGCAACGAUGCGUAGCCGACCUGAGAGGGUGAUCGGCCACACUGGAACUGAGACACGGUCCAGACUCCUACGGGAGGCAGCAGUAGGGAAUCUUCCGCAAAGGGCGAAAGCCUGACGGAGCAACGCCGCGUGAGUGAUGAAGGUCUUCGGAUCGUAAAACUCUGUUAUUAGGGAAGAACAAAUGUGUAAGUAACUAUGCACGCCUUGACGGUACCUAAUCAGAAGGCCACGGCUAACUACGUG
rnacentral:rRNA from 1 species